UAACGGCGAAGUGAAGCGGCAAGAAGCUUCAAAUUUGAAAUCUGGCCCCUUUGGGGUCCGAGUUGUAAUUUGCAGAGGAUGCUUCGGGUGCGGUCCCCGUCUAAGUGCCCUGGAAAGGGCCGUCAUAGAGGGUGAUAAUCCCGUCUGGGAUGGGCGGCCGCGCCCGUGUGAAGCUCCUUCGACGAGUCGAGUUGUUUGGGAAUGCAGCUCUAAGCGGGUGGUAGAUUCCAUCUAAAGCUAAAUAUUGGCCGGAGACCGAUAGCGCACAAGUAGAGUGAUCGAAAGAUGAAAAGCACUUUGAAAAGAGAGUUAAACAGCACGUGAAAUUGUUGAAAGGGAAGCGUUGUCCACCAGACUCGCCCGGGGGGGCUCAGCCGGCACGUGUGCCGGUGUACUCCUCUCCGGGCGGGCCAGCAUCGGUUUGGGCGGCUGGUGAAAGGCCCCGGGAAUGUAACACCCUCCGGGGUGCCUUAUAGCCCGGGGUGCCAUGCAGCCAGCCUGGACCGAGGCCCGCGCUUCGGCGAGGAUGCUGGCGUAAUGGUGGUCAACGGCCCGUCUUGAAACACGGACCAAGGAGUCUAACAUCUAUGCGAGUGUUCGGGUGUCAAACCCGUCCGCGCAGUGAAAGCGAACGGAGGUGGGAGCCCCUCGGGGCGCACCAUCGACCGAUCCUGAUGUCUUCGGAUGGAUUUGAGUAAGAGCAUAGCUGUUGGGACCCGAAAGAUGGUGAACUAUGCCUGAAUAGGGCGAAGCCAGAGGAAACUCUGGUGGAGGCUCGCAGCGGUUCUGACGUGCAAAUCGAUCGUCAAAUUUGGGUAUAGGGGCGAAAGACUAAUCGAACCAUCUGUAGCUGGUCUGCGA
rnacentral:rRNA from 1 species